rnacentral:rRNA from 1 species
AAGAGGUCCAGCCUGCCCAGUGACAAAUGUUCAACGGCCGCGGUAUCCUAACCGUGCGAAGGUAGCGUAAUCACUUGUUCUUUAAAUGGGGACUAGUAUGAAUGGCAUCACGAGGGUUACACUGUCUCCUCUCUCUAAUCAGUGAAACUAAUCUCCCCGUGAAGAAGCGGGGAUAAAUACAUAAGACGAGAAGACCCUAUGGAGCUUUAAAUUUUUAUCCAGGCACUAAACUACUACCUUAAGUCACUGACCUUUACUACAAUUACCACGGCGCCAUGAAGAUGAAUUUUAGGUUGGGGUGACCACGGAGUACAAAAAAACCUCCACGCUGAAUAGGCCUCUUAAGUCUUGAGCAAAGGGCCACAACCCAAAGCACUAAAAAACUAACACCCAUUGACCCAAUUUUAUUUGAUCAACGAACCAAGUUACCCUAGGGAUAACAGCGCAAUCUACUUCAAGAGUUCUUAUCGACAAGUGGGUUUACGACCUCGAUGUUGGAUCAGGGUAUCCCAGUGGUGCAGCCGCUACUAACGGUUCGUUUGUUCAACGAUUAAAACCCU